GUACAUGACUACAAUAUAGUAUCAAUGAACUCGAUCCCAUUAGAACUCUGCAGUUAAGUGCACUCGAGCUAGAGUAGUACUAGGAUGGGUGACCACCCAAGAAUUCCUAGUGUUUUAUAUG
rnacentral:rRNA from 1 species